UACGUAGGGGGCAAGCGUUGUCCGGAUUUAUUGGGCGUAAAGAGCGUGUAGGCGGCUUUGCAAGUCCGUUGUGAAAACUCGAGGCUCAACCUCGAGACGCCGGUGGAAACUGCAAAGCUAGAGUCCGGAAGAGGAGAGUGGAAUUCCUGGUGUAGCGGUGAAAUGCGCAGAUAUCAGGAAGAACACCCGUGGCGAAGGCGGCUCUCUGGGACGGUACUGACGCUGAGACGCGAAAGCGCGGGGAGCGAACAGG
rnacentral:rRNA from 1 species